UGUAUUUGUCACUGGACCAAUUGGCCACUAGCUACCUCUCUACACAGACGCAUGCUGGCGAGUGUGCAGACGGUGCAGAAAAAUUGUAGAAAGUAGCUAUAGUCGCUACAAAAGCAAGCGACUUAAGUGUCUUCCCCAACUCAAAUACUCAGGCUAUCUUGGUCUCCUUCCUCCACCGCAACCGAAGGCAAGCAUCUCACAUUUACCAUCUUCAACCAACCCACUUAACCGAAGUAGUUGUCUAAGUUGAAGCUCACAGAGGCCUUCCAUAUACCCGAACUAUUGAUGUAGUUUUCGACUGGUUCACCGCCUCGAGCGGUAAUGACCCCACACCUCUUGGCUCUUCGAGAUCUCCUUGUUGCCAUACUUUUUUGGGACCUGUUGACUGCUCUCUUCUGACAUUGCAGGAGAAACACAUAUCCACAUAUAUGUGGAAUGACGUGGAGCGUCGUAAAAAGAAUGUUAGACAUGCAUGCAUACAUGAUCCCCAUAAUAUACUUGAGCAAAUCGUGCCAUAAUUGAGACAGACUGGCUUCUAUGAGGUUGUGCGGCUGCAUAACCACGAGAUCGACAAUUCGCUUAUUGCAGCCCUUAUCGAGCGUUGGCGGCCUGAGACAUAUGUUUCACUUACCGUAGGGUGAGAUGACAAUCACCUUAGAGGACGUACACCAUCAGUUGGGUUUGCCCAUGGAUAGUGAAGUUGUCUCCGGUCGUAGUGGUAAGUAAAAUUGGCGCCAGAUGAUUAAUCAAUAUUUGGGAAUUGAGCCAUCUACAGAUCGAGAGCUGAAAGGAGGUUGGUUGAACCUAGGUUUUUUGUGCGAGAAAAUCAAUGACUAUGCAGAUUUUGCUGAGACUGAGCCACAACGGAUUAUAUACACACGCUAGUUGAUUAUGCACAUCUUGGGUGGCGUGUUGUUCGUCGACGCUGCUUCCAGCUUUGUUCCUGCUAGAUUUUUACUAUUCUUGGAUGAUUUUCAGCGGACGGGUAACUUUAGUUGGGGUUCUAUAGUAUUAGCGCACCUUUAUCGCGAGUUGUCUAGAUUGACAGGCAUAUCUCACACUUCUAUGGGUGGAUGUGUAUUGUCAGUGCAGUUGUGGGCAUGGACCCGAUUGCGGAGGAUCUCUCCUCCUCUCCCGACGUGGUAGACUUAGAUGCCAUAUACAGGCACAUAUAUCGAUAUCGCCUUGAUGUGAUGCACAAUAGAUACAUUGUUUGGAGGCCGUAUGCGGACUUUACUGCUUAUCGGCUGACCGCUGAUCAAAAACGCAGGUGGGUGGCCAUUUGUUCGCUUAUUUAUUAUUGCACAUCGAAUGACAUAUCGCAGUAGACGGACAUGAAUCAAAGUCGCCCUCGACGUCGGUGUCGAAUGAGUCAAUAUGUGGAACUAAACCUUCAUCCACCUCUUCGUUGGAGCUGUCUAUAUGACACGUCGUAACAUACUCAUCUUGGGUAGGAAGCAUUUCAAAUGACAUUGGUGGUAGUGGGGGUGAUGGGGGUGACACAUACCUAUCUUCAAAAUUCACCAACGGUUCUCUGUUAAUGUUGAUUGAGUGAAUGAAAAGGAGAGAAUGUUGACUACUAGACUGUCCACCCUAUUCGACUUUCGCAUACAGUUCAAUAAAUGUCGAGUCUCGAUCAUUUUGAAAUGCAUCUACUACUAGUGCGACAUCUUCAUCCUCAACAAUCUUCACAGAAACCCAACUCUCUUUACCAGAGGCACAUCUCGCAGUCAACCGAGAUAGAGAUUGGCUUGUUGUAAUAUCAACUUCUUGUAUAUUA